ACACGACUACAUUAGAUACCCCUGUAGUCCCAGCCGUAAACAAUGUGCGUUAGGUGUGUCGGUAACCACGUGUUACUGAUGCGCCGAAGAGAAAUCGUGAAACGCACCACCUGGGAAGUACGGUCGCAAGGCUGAAACUUAAAGGAAUUGGCGGGGGAGCACCACAACAGGUGGAGCCUGCGGUUUAAUUGGAUUCAACGCCGGACAUCUCACCGGAUAAGACAGCUGAAUGAUUGUCAAUCUGAAGGUUUUACAUGACUAGCUG
rnacentral:rRNA from 1 species